rnacentral:rRNA from 1 species
GAUGAACGCUGGCGGCGUGCCUAAUACAUGCAAGUCGAGCGAAGCGGGGACGGGUGAGAAACACGUGGAUAAACUCCUAAACGACUGGGAUAACUUCGGGAAACCGGAGAUAAACCGGCUACUUAUAGAUGGAUCCGCGCGGCAUUAGCUAGUUGGUAGGGUAACGGCGUACCAAGGCAACGAUGCAGAGACGACCGGAGAGGGUGAUCGGCCACACUGGAACUGAUACACGGUCCAGACUCCUACGGGAGGCAGCAGUAGGGAAUCUUCCGCAAUGGGCGAAAGCCUGACGGAGCAACGCCGCGUGAGUGAUGAAGGUUUUCGGAUCGUAAAACUCUGUUGUUAGGGAAGCGGUACCUAAUCAGAAAGCCACGGCUAACUACGUGCCAGCAGCCGCGGUAAUUC